UACGUAGGGGGCAAGCGUUGUCCGGAAUUAUUGGGCGUAAAGCGCGCGCAGGCGGCCGAUUAAGUCUGGUGUUUAACCCCGGGGCUCAACCCCGGGUCGCACUGGAAACUGGUUGGCUUGAGUACAGAAGAGGAAAGUGGAAUUCCACGUGUAGCGGUGAAAUGCGUAGAUAUGUGGAGGAACACCAGUGGCGAAGGCGACUUUCUGGGCUGUAACUGACGCUGAGG
rnacentral:rRNA from 1 species